rnacentral:ribozyme from 14 species
GGAAAAAAAAAAUGAAUGAAAUAAAAACAAAAACAUUCUUACCUUUUUUAUUGUUCAUC